UUUAUUAAAAAUCAAAAGAAAAACUAAUACAACUAAGGAGCUUGGGUCCAAAAGUGACCCAAGCCCAUGUAAACAACUACAAACAAAAAUUAAAGAAACCCAGAAACAAAAAAGGAAAGUGACGGUCUUCUUCUCCCUUGGCAUAGCAGCAACCUCACCGAUCGAUCUCUAUCUUCAACACAAUUUUUUGAAUUUGAGCGACAUCCAUCCGGGCAUUAACCAGUCUCACUAAUGCCAUGGAUUCAAACUAUUUGAAAACUUCUUUAACUCAAAAGUCGUGUAUCUUUUCCAAAUCUAGGUAAGAUCGCUGAGUGGAAGCAUUUAAGCUUGAAAAGUCCCCUUCACAGGACGACUCACCCUUUGUUUCUUUAUCCUCUGCAGAUUGAGCUCAGAAAGCUAAUACCACUGCAUAAGGAGCUAGAGCAUCAAGUAAGUCUUCCCUAUUUGUUUGGACAUUUCAAGAGAAUAGCUUCAACAAAAAUGCAUUUUCUUCAUGGUUUGAAAAUAUAUCAUGAUAUUUUUUGUCAUUUGCACUGCCUGUGUUUUCAAAUAAGCUUGUAUUUUUUUACUUGAAUUAGUGUAUUGCAGCUCAUGUGUCAUGACUUUGAAAUCUAUUUUGACACUUUGUAAAUCUGAUGUUCGGAAUCUGUUGUUUGUCCAUUUGGAUAAUCGCCUUGGUCCUCUGUGGUAUUUCCUAAAUAGUAUGAAAUUGUUUGUUGUUAGUACCUGCAAUGAAGAUUUGGUUAGUAAAAAAAUAUGCUAACAUAUUCCCUUCUCUGUACGUGUGUAACACCUCCACUGUAUGCUCUCUCACCAGCCCUUGGAUUCUUCUUAUAUCCACUACAAUAGCCCAAGGAAUUUCCCAAAUCCCAUCUAUGAUCUUCUUAGCAAGAAGAGAAUCUGUUUCGAUAAUUAGAGACACUGAGGUCCAUAUUAUCCUUGUAAGCACUAUCACUAUUGCAUUUCAACUUACCUUUUUCGGGGAACUUACAACUAACAAUUUUACUAGAGAUUAGAGGACUGUAAUUAUCAAAUGCUUUCACAAUUAGCGGCCAAACCAUAGAAAUAUUAUCUAUCCAAGGAUAUCUGUAUGCUGCCAACAGGUGUAGAUUCCUGUUAAUUUCAGCAAUCAUAGAGAAUUCAAACAUCUUCCCUCUAUGUGUAAUUUAAUUUCUUCUUUUCCAAAUUUGCCAUAUUAUGAACACAGGAACAGCUCUGAACAAAGGUUUAAGUUUUGGUACACAUUUCCCAUUCCACCAUUUAUCAAUUGUAUGUUUAAGCUGUAAAAAAAGGACCUUGAAUCCCUAAAGCAUCCGCAAACAACUCCCAUAGUUCAUUAGCCAUAGGACAUGUAACAAGCAGAUGUUCAAAGGUCUCUUGAGAAUCGUUAUUGCAGCAGCAACACACAACGGAAUCAGUGACUUUUAUCUUGAUCAAAACCUCCCCAAUAGGAAUACUUUGAAACCAAAUUCUCCAUAGCAAAAAGGAUAUUCUAAAAGGAAUUCCUGAUUCCCAGAUAUUCAUAAUCCCUUCCUGUUUUCCUUUUCUUUGUCUGGAAAGUUAUCAUGCACUUCCCACAGUAAAUUUUCCAGAACUUUUGGGCAUCCACCAUGCCUUAUCUCUUUCCUCAUAUUUUUGCAGCCUUCCAAAAACAUUAUGAAUUUGGUUGCACACUUCAGUAGGGAAUAACUCCUCCAUCAGAUUAUAGUUCCAUCCUUCCUUAUUUCUGAUCUGAUGAACCUCUUCGUAGGCCUCAUUAAUCUCAUAAGAAAUAGGAAGAUAUCAAUGUAGAGCCCCUAGUUGUAUCCCAUUGUCAUACCACAAGCUAGUAUGACCAAUUCUUGUCUCCCACCAGACUUUUUGGUCAAAAAAAGUCUAUGGCUUGUAGCAUAUACUUCCAAAUCUGUGAUUCACCUUUCCAUUCUACCUUCUGAAGUCUAAUUCUUUUACAGUACUUAUUCCACAUGAAAGUAGACCAUAGGGUGUUUGUGGUUCUGAAUUUCCACCAUAGCUUUGCAAAAAGAGCUUUUGAUACAUCAAAAUAAGGAUCUAAACCCCAACCCUCCUUCUUCUUUUGGUAGACAUAUGUCAUGCCAAGAUACCUAAUGUUUUGCCCUCCCCCCUUCUUUAGAGUUCCAUAGAAAUUUAGCAAACAUCCUAUGGAUAUCCAUUAUCACACACUUAGGAGGCACAAUAGCAGAUAACAAAUAAAUAGGAAUACUCUGCUAAACACUAUUGAUUAAAACUGAUUUCCCUCCAAAUGACAACAAUUUUCCUUUCCAAAGUUACAACUUGUUUUGAAUAUUUUUAAUCAACUCUGAAAAGUGGGCCUUUUUCUUCUUUGCAUGUCCAAUUGGACAUCCUAGAUAGAUCAGGGGAAAAUUUUAUUUCAAAAAACCAAUAACACUUUCAACAACUUGAACAUCUGCACUUGCAACUUUGUUGAACAUGUAGUAAAAGUUUUUCUCCUUAUUAAUUUUCUGUCCAAAUUGCUCCUCAUAGUUAUUCAAUACCUCAAUUAUAUACUGUAAAGAUUUUUCCUCUGCUGCAGCAAAUAUUAUAGUAUCAUAUGCAUAAGCAAGAUGAUUCAGCUUCUCACUCCAUUUAGGCAUCCCAAAAGGUUUAAAAUAUGUACAAGAAAACAAACUGUUUAAAGCUUUUGAUAAUACUUCUGCAGAGAGAAUGAAAAGUGCAGGAGAUAGGGGAUCUCCUUGUUUAACACCCCUCGAAGAAUGAAAGAAUCCAUGGGUUGUCCAUUAAUGAGAAUGGAAUAACAAUUAUUUGCCAAAAUCCUCCAAACCAGAUCUCCUUAUUUCUGAUCUGAUGAACCUCUUCGUAGGCCUCAUUAAUCUCAUAAGAAAUAGGAAGAUAUGAAUGUAGAGCCCCUAGUUGUAUCCAAUUGUCAUACCACAAGCUAGUAUGACCAAUUCUUGUCUCCCACCAGACUUUUUGGUCAAAAAAAGUCUAUGGCUUGUAGCAUAUACUUCCAAAUCUGUGAUUCACCUUUCCAUUCUACCUUCUGAGGUCUAAUUCUUUUACAGUACUUAUUCCACAUGAAAGUAGACCAUAGGGUGUUUGUGGUUCUGAAUUUCCACCAUAGCUUUGCAAAAAGAGCUUUUGAUACAUCAAAUAAGGAUCUAAAUCCCAACCCUCUUUCUUCUUUUGGUAGACAUAUGUCCUGCCAAGAUACCCAAUGUUUUGGUCAAAAAAAGUCUCUGGCUUGUAGCAUAUGCUUCCAAAUCUGUGAUUCACCUUUCCAUUCUACCUUCUGAGGUCUAAUUCUUUUACAGUACUUAUUCCACAUGAAAGUAGACCAUAGGGUGUUUGUGGUUUUGAAUUUCCACCAUAGCUUUGCAAAAAGAGUUUUUGAUACAUCAAAUAAGGAUCUAAACCCAACCCUCCUUCUUCUUUUGGUAGACAUAUGUCCUGCCAAGAUACCCAAUGUUUUCCCCCCCGCCCCCCCUCCCUCUUCUUUAGAGUUCCAUAGAAAUUUAGCAAACAUCCUAUGGAUAUCCAUUAUCACACACUUAGGAGGCACAAUAGUAGAUAACAAAUAAACAGGAAUACUCUGCAAAACAUUAUUGAUUAAAACUGAUUUCCCUCCAAAUGACAACAAUUUUCCUUUCCAAAGUUGCAGCUUGUUUUGAAUAUUUUUAAUCAACUCUGAAAAGUGGGACUUUUUCUUCUUUGCAUGUCCAAUUGGACAUCCUAGAUAGAUCGGGGGAAAAUUUGCUUUCACAAAACCAGUAACACUUUCAACAAUUUGAACAUCUGCACUUGCAACUUUGUUGAACAUGUAGUAAAAGCUGUUAUUCUUAUUAAUUUUCUGUCCAGAUUGUUCCUCAUAGUUAUUCAAUACCUCCAUUAUAAGUUGUAAAGAUUUUUCUUCUGCUGCAGCAAAUAUUAUAGUAUCAUCUGCAUAAGCAAGAUGAUUCAGCUUCUCACUCCAUUUAGGCAUCCCAAAAGGUUUAAAAUCUGUACAAGAAAACAAAUUGUUUAAAGCUUUUGAUAAUACUUCUGCAGAGAGAAUGAAAAGUGCAGGAGAUAGGGGAUCUCCUUGUUUAACACCCCUCGAAGAAUGAAAGAAUCCAUGGGCUUGUCCAUUAAUGAGAAUGGAAUACCAAUUAUUUGCCAAAAUCCUCCAAACCAGAUCCAAUACAUCCCCAUCAAAACCCAUCAUUUCCAUCACAUUAAUAAAAAACUUCCAAUUCACCCUGUCAUAGGCUUUAGCCAUAUCCAAUUUGAUUACCACAUUAGCAAGUUUACCCCUCUUCCUUAUAUCAGUGAUGAUCUCUUAAGGAAGCAACACAUUUUCAAUAAUACUCCUUCCCUUAACAAAACCAGAUUGAUUUUGUGAGAUCAAUUUAGGCAAUAAAUCUUCCAUUCUGUCAUGCAUCACUCUUGAAAUGACCUUAUUGAGAAAAUUACUCAAACUAAUUGGUCUUAAGUCUGAAAAGGAUUUGAUCACAUCUUUUUUUGGCAAAAGAACCAAAUUAAUAUAAGUAAUUGAUUUAGGGAGGGUGCACCCUUGAAAAAAGGCCUAAACAACUUUCAGAAUAUCACCUCCUACUAUCUCCCAACAAUGUUGAUAGAAGUGACCAAUGAAACCAUCAGGUCCACUUGCACUAUCACCAUUUAAUUCAAAAACCACCUUUUUAACCUCCUUUUCAAAAGGUAAAGCUUUAAUCCUUAUAUUUUUAGCCAAAGUAACAUGAGGAGCAAUGUGUUGGAGAAGAGAUUUAUCUGGAUUGCAAGCACUUUCUGAAAAUUGAUUUUCAAAAACUUUAGAGCUUCUGUAGCAAUUGUUGAAUCUCUUUCUGCCCAACCUCCAUCUUCUUUAAGAAUUCUCUUCAAGGUUAACCUCUUUCUUCUCCCUUUUACCAAGCAAUGAAAGAACUUGGUAUUCUUAUCACCUUUAGAAAACCAUUGGAAACUUGAUUUCUGUCUCCAAAAUUCCUUCUCAUAAUGAAUAUAUAACUUAAGUUCUGCCUGUGCUUUCGGUAAAAUAGCUCUAUUAAAAGAGUUGGGAUUUUGUUCAAACAGUUCUUCUUUCAACCUUACAAUUUCUUCCCUAAUCACUAAUUGUUUGAAGAUAUCCCCAAACUUUUCUUUACUCCACAUAAUAAGGGCAAGUUUAGUUUUCUUUAACUUCUGCUUCAGCUGGACAAAAAUAUCACCAUCAUAGUCAGUACACUAAUUAUCUAAGACCACUUUUUUAAAGUCAUCCCUCUCCGUCCAAAAUUCAAAAAUUUGAAAGGCUUGAACACGAGCUUAUUAGAUCCACCACAAGUCAACAAUAGAGGAGCAUGGUCAGAGCUUGUUCUAGCAAGAUGUUGUAAUUCCACAUUACCCAUCAAAUCUUGCAUAGAUUGAUUGAUAACAACUCUAUCAAGUCUCUUGAAAAUACAUCCUGCAUCAGUCCUACCAUUCCACCAAGUGAAUGGGCUACCAGAAAAAUGCAAAUCAAACAAGUCACAAGAAUUGACACAAAAGGCAAAAUCUUCAUAUUCCUGAGGAUAUACUGGUAAUCCACCUAUCUUUUCUUCUUCCCCUAGAAUAACAUUGAAAUCCCCUCCCACCAUCCAUGGCAAGGAAAAUUCUUGACUCAAAGUAUAUAUAUCAUCCCACAAACUCAACCUUUCAAUAGAAGAGCAUUUAGCAUAUACUAUUGUAGUUAAGAAUUGUUGGCCAUCCUCCAUGGUUAAGUGAAGAGUCAAUUGUUGUUCAGAGUCUGAAAUAACUCCCACUUGAAUAUGUUCUCUAAUGAAUAUCCAGAUCUGCCCAUUACUGUUAUAAUUUACAUACUGCAUCCCCAAUCUUCUCUUGAAUCUUUGAAUAUGAGUAGUAUCUUGGAAUGGCUCCAUUUAAAGCAAUAAGAAAGAAUUUGUGAUGUCUGUGUAACAUUUGAACUCUGUGAAAAGCAUUUUGUGUUUCCACAGACCUUAUGUUCCAAAAUAAGGCUUUUUUGUGUCAUUUGGAUAUUGAUUUAACCACCCUCUUAGCUUGUAUCCUUGUUGGUCUAAUAAUGGCAUCACCUUUAUCUACCUUUUCUCCUUUAACAUCUCCCUUUUUUUCUCCCUUUUUACCCUUGGAUAGAGUAUUUGGGGAUAAACCAGUUGCACUACACAUACUUCUAGCAUUAAAAUCAUUCAUGUCUUCUUCUUUAUCUGUUAUUGUUUAUUUUGUUGUUUCAGCAUAUAUUGUAAUCUGACCCUAUGUUGUUUCAUGUUGAAUCUGAUGAGAUAUUAAUGCAUGCAGGUUUUCCAUAGGUGGUGACUUCUGAGGACUUCCUUCCAUGGACUUGGUUACUCCUAUUUUCUCUAUUUCUUCAUUUUCUUCUAUAUUAGUUAAAUGUAGUCUUGUUUCCUCUUGAGCAUGUGGAAAACUCCCUUCCCAAUAAGGUGCUAAUUGAAUUUGCAAUGGGACUUCAUAAAUGGCUUCAGCAAUUCCUUUCAUUAAGGUACAUUCACUUAUACCUUCUCCUGUGGUUUGUGCGACCACAAUGUCAGUAAUUAUUUGAUGAUCUACACCUCUUUCAGUGGCUGUUGUCUGCACUGACUCUCCAUUAACUUUAUCUUCUUUUGCUGGUAUAUCAACUAUUUCCACUGAUGACUCCUCCCUCCUGUAGAUCUAUGUAUCCAUCAUCUCCGGCCACCUCUUCAGAUAAUCCUUUCCCUUUAUAUUUAGCAAAUACGUGACUAAUCCAUUCCUUAGUGGAGGAAUGAUGCUAACAUUUUUUACCUUAUUUUUCUUUCUCCAUCAGUCCUCUAGCAGAUCCAUUAACAUUACUAGAUUGAUUGCUUGCACUGCUUAUUUCUUGUGUUUGUGAGUCUUUUUCUAUUCCUUCAGCUAAGGAUACAAAGGUAUUGCUGGUUUUUGACAUCCUUAGUAGGUGUACAUGCUUUGUCAUUCAUUAAGGAGUUGGGCGCUAAUGUGAAAACUCUAUGAGUAGCAUUCCAAUGCUUCUUAACCCCUUUCUCCACUGCACUUCUGUGUGUUCUUUGGCUUUAUUCGAGUCACCUUGCUGAGUUACUUGUUCUGUCUUUCUAUUUCAUCAU
rnacentral:lncRNA from 1 species